AACGAACGCUGGCGGCAGGCCUAACACAUGCAAGUCGAACGCUGUAGCAAUACAGAGUGGCAGACGGGUGAGUAACGCGUGGGAACCUUCCCAGUGGUACGGAAUAGCUCAGGGAAACUUGAGGUAAUACCGUAUAAGCCCCUAGGGGGAAAGAUUUAUCGCCAUUGGAUGGGCCCGCGUCGGAUUAGCUAGUUGGUGAGGUAAUGGCUCACCAAGGCGACGAUCCGUAGCUGGUUUGAGAGAAUGACCAGCCACACUGGGACUGAGACACGGCCCAGACUCCUACGGGAGGCAGCAGUGGGGAAUAUUGGACAAUGGGCGCAAGCCUGAUCCAGCCAUGCCGCGUGAGUGACGAAGGCCUUAGGGUUGUAAAGCUCUUUUAGCAGGGACGAUAAUGACGGUACCUGCAGAAUAAGCUCCGGCUAACUUCGUGCCAGCCGCCGCAGUAAGAC
rnacentral:rRNA from 1 species